AUCCAGUUGACCGGUCCCAAAUAGGACGAAACGCGCAUCCUGGAU
rfam:Schistosoma mansoni strain Puerto Rico chromosome 4, complete genome